GACGAACGCUGGCGGCGUGCUUAACACAUGCAAGUCGAACGGAAAGGCCCUGCUUUUGUGGGGUGCUCGAGUGGCGAACAGGUGAGUAACACGUGAGUAACCUGCCCUUGACUUUGGGAUAACUUCAGGAAACUGGGGCUAAUACCGGAUAGGAGCUCCUGCUGCAUGGUGGGGGUUGGAAAGUUUCGGCGGUUGGGGAUGGACUCGCGGCUUAUCAGCUUGUUGGUGGGGUAGUGGCUUACCAAGGCUUUGACGGGUAGCCGGCCUGAGAGGGUGACCGGCCACAUUGGGACUGAGAUAUGGCCCAGACUCCUACGGGAGGCAGCAGUGGGGAAUAUUGCACAAUGGGCGGAAGCCUGAUGCAGCAACGCCGCGUGCGGGAUGACGGCCUUCGGGUUGUAAACCGCUUUCGCCUGUGACGAAGCGUGAGUGACGGUAAUGGGUAAAGAAGCACCGGCUAACUACGUG
rnacentral:rRNA from 1 species